rnacentral:hammerhead_ribozyme from 1 species
GUACUGCUGAAGAGUUCCAAGCGAUAGGACGAAACAGCUGUCCAGUAC